rnacentral:rRNA from 1 species
GAUGAACGCUGGCGGCGUGCCUAAUACAUGCAAGUCGAGCGAACAGACGAGGAGCUUGCUCCUCUGACGUUAGCGGCGGACGGGUGAGUAACACGUGGAUAACCUACCUAUAAGACUGGGAUAACUUCGGGAAACCGGAGCUAAUACCGGAUAAUAUAUUGAACCGCAUGGUUCAAUAGUGAAAGACGGUUUUGCUGUCACUUAUAGAUGGAUCCGCGCCGCAUUAGCUAGUUGGUAAGGUAACGGCUUACCAAGGCAACGAUGCGUAGCCGACCUGAGAGGGUGAUUGGCCACAACGGAACUGAGACACGGUCCAGACUCCUAAGGGAGGCAGCAGUAGGGAAUCUUCCGCAAUGGGCGAAAGCCUGACGGAGCAACGCCGCGUGAGUGAUGAAGGUCUUCGGAUCGUAAAACUCUGUUAUUAGGGAAGAACAAAUGUGUAAGUAACUAUGCACGUCUUGACGGUAACUAAUCAGAAAGCCACGGCUAACUACGUG